GACGAACGCUGGCGGCGUGCUUAACACAUGCAAGUCGAACGGAAAGGCCUCUUUCGGGGGGUACUCGAGUGGCGAACGGGUGAGUAACACGUGAGUAACCUGCCCUUGACUUUGGGAUAACUUCAGGAAACUGGGGCUAAUACCGGAUAGGAGCUCCUGCUGCAUGGUGGGGGUUGGAAAGUUUCGGCGGUUGGGUGUGGACUCGCGGCUUAUCCGCUUGUUGUUGGGGUAUUGGCUUACCAAGGCGUUGACGGGUAGCCGGCCUGAGAGGGUGACCGGCCACAUUGGGACUGAGAUACGGCCCAGACUCCUACGGGAGGCAGCAGGGGGGAAUAUUGCACAAUGGGUGGAAGCCUGAUGCAGCAACGCCGUGGGCGGGAUGACGGCCUUAGGGUUGUAAACCGCUUUCGCUCAUGACGAAGCUUUGUGUGACGGUAGUGGGUAAAGAAGCACCGGCUAACUACGUG
rnacentral:rRNA from 1 species